rnacentral:tRNA from 1 species
GCCCAAUUGGCUCAGUUUGUAGAGCAUAUGACUCUUGAUCUAGGGUUGUGAGUUCAAGCCCCACAUUGGGUG